rnacentral:rRNA from 1 species
UGGGGAAUAUUGGACAAUGGGCGAAAGCCUGAUCCAGCCAUGCCGCGUGAGUGAUGAAGGCCCUAGGGUUGUAAAGCUCUUUUGUGCGGGAAGAUAAUGACGGUACCGCAAGAAUAAGCCCCGGCUAACUUCGUGCCAGCAGCCGCGGUAAUACGAAGGGGGCUAGCGUUGCUCGGAAUCACUGGGCGUAAAGGGUGCGUAGGCGGGUUUCUAAGUCAGAGGUGAAAGCCUGGAGCUCAACUCCAGAACUGCCUUUGAUACUGGAAGUCUUGAGUUCGGGAGAGGUGAGUGGAACUGCGAGUGUAGAGGUGAAAUUCGUAGAUAUUCGCAAGAACACCAGUGGCGAAGGCGGCUCACUGACCCGAUACUGACGCUGAGGCACGAAAGCGUGGGGAGCAAACA